rnacentral:rRNA from 1 species
GAUGCAUGAGCGAAUCUGAUGCAGCCAUGCCGCGUGUGUGAUGAAGGCCUUCGGGUUGUAAAGCACUUUCGUUGGGAGGAAAUUUUGACCGAUCCUACCCAUUAGCCCUGGCUUUAUUCUUGCAAGAAGCAGCGGUAAACUCCGUGGCGCAAACCUUAGUCAUAAUCACGGGGCUUACGUGGUUCGUAAUUACUGGGCUAAAAGCGAGCGUAAGCCCCUUUUUUCAUCCGAGGAAUUGCCCCCGGACUCACCCUGCUAACUGCGAUCGAAACUGAACGGAUAUAAUGGGGGAGAGGGAAGUUGAAUUCCAUGUGUAGCGGUGAAAUGCGUAAAUAGCGGCUCUAAUACCAUCCUUCGAACGCUGCCUCCUGGAUCCUAGGGGACCCUGAGGUGUUAAAGCCUGGGGAGCAAAUAGAUUAAAUACCCUGGUAGUCCACCCCGUAAACUAUGUCUCUUCCUGUAGGGGUACUUGAUGCCUUUACAGCGCCUGGACACUAUGGUCACACCGCCUGGGGAGUACGGCAUUGACGGUAAAACUCAAAGGAAUUGACGGGG